UACGUAGGGUGCAAGCGUUGUCCGGAAUUAUUGGGCGUAAAGAGCUCGUAGGCGGUUUGUCGCGUCUGCUGUGAAAUCUGGAGGCUCAACCUCCAGCCUGCAGUGGGUACGGGCAGACUAGAGUGCGGUAGGGGAGAUUGGAACUCCUGGUGUAGCGGUGGAAUGCGCAGAUAUCAGGAAGAACACCGAUGGCGAAGGCAGGUCUCUGGGCCGUAACUGACGCUGAGGAGCGAAAGCAUGGGGAGCGAACAGG
rnacentral:rRNA from 1 species